rnacentral:rRNA from 1 species
AUUGAACGCUGGCGGCAGGCUUAACACAUGCAAGUCGAGCGGUAACAGAGAGAAGCUUGCUUCUCUGCUGACGAGCGGCGGACGGGUGAGUAAUGCCUAGGAAUCUGCCUAGUAGUGGGGGAUAACUUGCCGAAAGGUAAGCUAAUACCGCAUACGUCCUACGGGAGAAAGGAGGGGACCUUCGGGCCUUUCGCUAUUAGAUGAGCCUAGGUCGGAUUAGUUAGUUGGUGAGGUAAUGGCUCACCAAGACCGCGAUCCGUAACUGGUCUGGGAGGAUGAUCAGUCACACUGGAACUGAGACACGGUCCAGACUCCUAAGGGAGGCAGCAGUGGGGAAUAUUGGACAAUGGGGGGAACCCUGAUCCAGCCAUGCCGCGUGUGUGAAGAAGGUCUUAGGAUUGUAAAGCACUUUAAGUUGGGAGGAAGAGCAGUUAACUAAUAUUUGACUGUUUUGACGUUACCGACAGAAUAAGCACCGGCUAACUUCGUGCCAGCCGCCGCGGUAA